rnacentral:rRNA from 1 species
UUCAGUUGAAUGAAGACCGUACCGUAAACCGACACAGGUGGGUAGGAUGAGAAUUCUAAGGCGCUUGAGAGAACUCAGGAGAAGGAACUCGGCAAAAUAGCACCGUAACUUCGGGAAAAGGUGUGCCCUUUGUAUGUGUAGCGCCUCGCGCGUGAAGCAGAAUAGGGUUGCAAUGAAAUGGUGGCUGCGACUGUUUAAUAAAAACAUAGCACUCUGCAAAACACGAAAGUGGACGUAUAGAGUGUGACGCCUGCCCGGUGCCGGAAGGUUAAAUGAUGGGGUGCAAGCUCUUGAUUGAAGCCCCGGUAAACGGCGGCCGUAACAAUAACGGUCCUAAGGUAGCGAAAUUCCUUGUCGGGUAAGUUCCGACCUGCACGAAUGGCGUAACGAUGGCCACACUGUCUCCUCCUGGGACUCAGCGAAGUUGAAAUGUUUGUGAAGAUGCAAUCUCCCCGCGGCUAGACGGAAAGACCCCGUGCACCUUUACUGUAGCUUUACAUUGGACUUUGAUAACAUUUGUGUAGGAUGGGUGGGAGGCUUUGAAGUGGAUUCGCCAGAAUUCAUGGAGCCAACGUUGAAAUACCACCCUGAUGUUGUUGAGGUUCUAACCUAGAUCCAUUAUCUGGAUUGGGGACCGUGUAUGGUAGGCAGUUUGACUGGGGCGGUCUCCUCCCAAAUUGUAACGGAGGAGUACGAAGGUACGCUAGGUACGGUCGGAAAUCGUGCUGAUAGUGCAAUGGCAAAAGCGUGCUUGACUGCGAGACUGACAAGUCGAGCAGAUGCGAAAGCAGGUCAUAGUGAUCCGGUGGUUCUGUAUGGAAGGGCCAUCGCUCAACGGAUAAAAGGUACGCCGGGGAUAACAGGCUGAUUCCUCCCAAGAGUUCAUAUCGACGGGGGAGUUUGGCACCUCGAUGUCGGCUCAUCACAUCCUGGGGCUGUAGCCGGUCCCAAGGGUAUGGCUGUUCGCCAUUUAAAGUGGUACGUGAGCUGGGUUUAAAACGUCGUGAGACAGUUUGGUCCCUAUCUGCCGUGGGCGUUGGAAGUUUGAGUGGACCUGCUCCUAGUACGAGAGGACCGGAGUGGACGCACCUCUGGUGUACCGGUUAUGACGCCAGUCGUAUCGCCGGGUAGCUAUGUGCGGAAGAGAUAACCGCUGAAAGCAUCUAAGCGGGAAACUCUCCUCAAGAUGAGACUUCCCGAGGGUUUAACCCUCCUAAAGGUUCGUCGAAGACUACGACGUUGAUAGGUCGGGUGUGGAAGCAUAGUGAUAUGUUAAGCUAACCGAUACUAAUUGACCGUGAGGCUUGAUCCU